rnacentral:rRNA from 1 species
UACAGGGGGGGCAAGCGUUGUUCGGAAUUACUGGGCGUAAAGGGCUCGUAGGUGGCCAACUAAGUCAGACGUGAAAUCCCUCAGCUUAACUGGGGAACUGCGUCUGAUACUGGAUGGCUUGAGUUUGGGAGAGGGAUGCGGAAUUCCAGGUGUAGCGGUGAAAUGCGUAGAGAUCGGCAGGAACACCCAGGGGGAAACCAGUCGACUGGGCAUCUACUGACGCUGAGGUGCGAGAGCGUGGGGAGCGAACCGG